rnacentral:rRNA from 1 species
UACGUAGGGGGCUAGCGUUGUCCGGAUUUAUUGGGCGUAAAGAGCGUGUAGGCGGCCAGGUAGGUCUGCUGUGAAAACUCGAGGCUCAACCUCGAGACGUCGGCGGAAACCAUCUGGCUAGAGUCCGGAAGAGGAGAGUGGAAUUCCUGGUGUAGCGGUGAAAUGCGCAGAUAUCAGGAAGAACACCCGUGGCGAAGGCGGCUUUCUGGGACGGUACUGACGCUGAGACGCGAAAGCGUGGGGAGCGAACAGG